CGACGAUAAAGUAGUAGCUUACGAAAACAUGUCAAGCUUCAAUUUCAAAGUUCAAAAGGAAAACCGAAACGACUUGUCUCACCAGACUGCCGCAGCUCAAGCAGCAGUUUUCAAAGCAUACAUGGCACUUUGUAAGAGCGAAACGCAACCCGACCGUGGCCGACUUGAACAAGGAUACUUGAGUACUUGGUAGAAGAGGGCAAGAAUCAAGUCUGAGUUCAAAAUAAACUUUUAUAAAUUUUA